rnacentral:rRNA from 1 species
AUUGAACGCUGGCGGCAUGCUCUACACAUGCAAGUCGAACGGUAACAGGUCUUCGGAUGCUGACGAGUGGCGAACGGGUGAGUAAUGCAUCGGAACGUGCCCAGUCGUGGGGGAUAACGCAGCGAAAGCUGCGCUAAUACCGCAUACGAUCUAUGGAUGAAAGCGGGGGACCGUAAGGCCCCGCGCGAUUGGAGCGGCCGAUGUCAGAUUAGGUAGUUGGUGGGGUAAAGGCCCACCAAGCCAACGAUCUGUAGCUGGUCGUGAGAGGACGACAAGCCACACUGGGACUGAGACACGGCCCAGACUCCUACGGGAGGCAGCAGUGGGGAAUUUUGGACAAUGGGCGCAAGCCUGAUCCAGCAAUGCCGCGUGCAGGAAGAAGGCCUUCGGGUUGUAAACUGCUUUUGUACGGAACGAAACGGCUCUCUCUAAUACAGAGGGCUAAUGACGGUACCGUAAGAAUAAGCACCGGCUAACUACGUGCCAGCAGCCGCCGUAA